AGAAUGUUUAAGAACAAGUUUUCCAAUUUCCCAUACAUGCACUGUGCUCCCUGUGUUUCUGACUCAGGCACAGGGAGGGGAGAGCUGUGCACAGUGCUCAUGGAGUGCUGACUGGGAAUUAUGGAGGCGGGAACUGUGUGUGGUCCUCCAAGUGUGUGUUUGACCCAGAAGUAAAUUGGUGUUUCAUACAUGCCUACCAGUAUGAGUCUGAAACAGCUCAUUUCAGAUUUAAGCCAUGUUUGACAGUGGAGUGUUAAGCUCUCAGUACCUGUACCUAAUAUUCCAGGGCCAUCCAGCAGGGAACAAAGCCUUGUCAUUGUUCCUAUUAUAUAUGAUUCUUUGCCCGACUGCGCGUUCAGUGUCAACAGGCUGCUGCCCCUGCAAUAGGACUGGGAACUCUGUGGAAAGAAAUUUCAAAGGUCCGGAAUUAUUGCACUGUGCACGACUGUGCUCCUUUCCGGAUUUAAUCCAUGUUUUGCAGUCCUGCUGUAUAAGAUUCAAUGAAAAUUUUCAAUCAGGAGACGAAGGCUUGUCUGGGUUCCCACUGAAUGAGAUUUCGUGUCUUGCUGCUCAUCCAUCAGAAUUGAAGAUGGACUGUCACAGCUGCAACAUGACAAGGAACACAGUGGAAAGAGAUUGCUCGGCUGCCCUGGGUUCCCGUCUCCGUCUGUCGGCAGCUUAUCGGCCGGCCGCGCACGACAGCUCAACGGCCCGCCCCAGGGCACCAGAGUCACUCGGAAUCGGAGGACACUUUGAAGGAGUCUUGAACUAAGCUGUGCCCGUGGACCUGGUCCAAUCCUGAAGCCUGACCCCUCACUCCUCGUUCCACAUCAGACCUAAACAACACCCCUCUUCCUUCUGAAGAACCAAUCCCUCUUGACCUGGACCCAUGGGACCCUCUGGACAUUGUGGCCUUGGGCUGGCGCUCCCUCAGCAGCUUCCUCGAUGCCUGCACUUCUCUGGUAAAGUAGAAGUUGGCCCAGCACUCUAGAUCAGUGCGGGACAUCCAGACCAACUGGCUGUCUGGGACUGGAGUGGAAGAAGAAACCUGUCCUGUCAGCUGUUGGUUCAGGUUCUGCACCUGACACUCAGAACCUUUCGGGGGUGGUGGAGGGAAAUGGAAUUGAAGAUGGACUGUCACAGUUGCAACAUGACUUGGAACACAGUGGAAAGAGAUUGCUCGGCUGCCCCGGGUUCCCGUCUCCGUCUCUCUGCAGCCUAUCGGCCGGCAGCGCACGACAGCUCAACGGCCCGCCCCAGGGCACCAGAGUCACUCGGAAUCGGAGGACACUUUGAAGGAGUCUUGAACUAAGCUGUGCCCGUGGACUUGGUCCAAUCCUGGAACCUGACCCCUCACUCCUCGUUCGACAUCAGACCUAAACAACCCCCCUCUUCCUUCUGAAGAACCAAUCCCUCUUGACCUGGACCCAUGGGACCCUCUGGACAUUGUGGCCUUGGGCUGGCGCUCCCUCAGCAGCUUCCUCGAUGCCUGCACUUCUCUGGUAAAGUAGAAGUUGGCCCAGCACUCUCGAUCAGUGCGGGACAUCCAGACCAACUGGCUGUCUGGGACUGGAGUGGAAGAAGAAACCUGUCCUGUCAGCUGUUGGUACAGGUUC